GCAAAUGUUCUAGAAGAGUUACUUAUCUUCCCAGCAUAUCGAGAGUAAAGUAUGAGCGAAACAUUGCAGAUUGUUCUUGCUAAGCUAAAAGAUACAGAGGCUCACCAGGAUUGAUAGUUUGAAAACAAAAAUAUUCACUAUUAGCUGCACUCAGCGAAGGAUAUUCGACAGGACAAUCAGUUUCAAAGGGCCACUGCUAGCAAAGUUGUCGAGACUGAGUCGGCUUUACGUCAUAAAGCGAGAAUAGAGAGGCAUCAACGCACCACUGAGCGUGUGAUUCUUGGACCUGACAGUGGUUGGCAGCCAGUGCCACUUACAGAUCUCAUUACAACUGUUGCUGUGAAGAAAGCCUACAGGAAGGCAACUCUCUGUGUUCAUCCAGAUAAAUUACAUCAAAGGGGUGCUACAAUCAGACAGAAGUACAUCUGUGAGAAGGUUUUCGAUCUUCUCAAGGAAUGGCGAGAAGGAUAAUCAUAUGGUGCCAAAGAAACAGGAAUGGCGAGAAGGUUGUGGCUGACACGGUCUUUGUGAAUCUCCGAUGCCCG